AGACGUCUACAUUAGAUACCCCGGUAGUCCCAGCCGUAAACUAUGCGUGUUAGGUGUAUCGGUGACCACGAGUUACCGAGGUGCCGAAGGGAAACCGUGAAACGUGCCGCCUGGGAAGUACGGUCGCAAGGCUGAAACUUAAAGGAAUUGGCGGGGAGCACCACAACGGGUGGAGCCUGCGGUUUAAUUGGACUCAACGCCGGGAAGCUCACCGGAUAGGACAGCAGAAUGAUUGCCGGGCUGAAGACCCUGCAUGACUAGCUG
rnacentral:rRNA from 1 species